GACGAACGCUGGCGGCGUGCCUAAUACAUGCAAGUUGAGCGCUGAAGGUUGGUACUUGUACCAACUGGAUGAGCAGCGAACGGGUGAGUAACGCGUGGGGAAUCUGCCUUUGAGCGGGGGACAACAUUUGGAAACGAAUGCUAAUACCGCAUAAAAACUUUAAACACAAGUUUUAAGUUUGAAAGAUGCAAUUGCAUCACUCAAAGAUGAUCCCGCGUUGUAUUAGCUAGUUGGUGAGGUAAAGGCUCACCAAGGCGAUGAUACGUAGCCGACCUGAGAGGGUGAUCGGCCACAUUGGGACUGAGACACGGCCCAAACUCCUACGGGAGGCAGCAGUAGGGAAUCGUCGGCAAUAGACGAAAGUCUGACCGAGCAACGCCGCGUGAGUGAAGAAGGUUUUCGGAUCGUAAAACUCUGUUGGUAGAGAAGAACGUUGGUGAGAGUGGAAAGCUCAUCAAGUGACGGUAACUACCCAGAAAGGGACGGCUAACUGCGUG
rnacentral:rRNA from 1 species